rnacentral:rRNA from 1 species
CCUACGGGCGGCAGCAGUGAGGAAUAUUGGUCAAUGGGCGUAAGCCUGAACCAGCCAAGCCGCGUGAGGGAUGAAGGUUCUAUGGAUCGUAAACUUCUUUUAUAAGGGAAUAAAGUGCGGGUCGUGACCCGUUUUGUAGGUACCUUAUGAAUAAGGAUCGGCUAACUCCGUGCCAGCAGCCGCGGUAAUACGGAGGAUCCGAGCGUUAUCCGGAUUUAUUGGGUUUAAAGGGUGCGUUGGCGGGCUUGUAAGUCAGCGGUGAAAAUCCCGGGCUCAACCCCGGACGAGCCGUUGAAACUGGCAGGCUUGAGUAUGAUGGAGGCAGGCGGAAUGCGUGGUGUAGCGGUGAAAUGCUUAGAUAUUGCGCAGAACCCCGAGUGCGAAGGCAGCCUACC